UACGUAGGGGGCAAGCGUUAUCCGGAAUUACUGGGUGUAAAGGGAGCGUAGACGGUAAUGUAAGUCUGGAGUGAAAGGCGGGGGCCCAACCCCCGGACUGCUCUGGAAACUAUGUUACUAGAGUGCUGGAGAGGUAAGCGGAAUUCCUAGUGUAGCGGUGAAAUGCGUAGAUAUUAGGAGGAACACCAGUGGCGAAAGCGGCUCUCUGGCCUGUAACUGACACUGAGGCUCGAAAGCGUGGGGAGCAAACAGG
rnacentral:rRNA from 1 species